UGCCARCAGCCGCGGUAAUACGGAGGGUGCAAGCGUUGUCCGGAUUUAUUGGGUUUAAAGGGUGCGUAGGCGGCCGAUUAAGUCAGCGGUGAAAGUCUGUGGCUCAACCAUAGAAGCGCCGUUGAUACUGGUUGGCUUGAGUGCCGUAUGGGUACAUGGAAUUGAUGGUGUASCGGUGAAAUGCAUARAUACCAUCAGGAACACCGAUWGCGUAGGCAUUGUACUGUGCGGCAAWGACGCUGAGGCACGAAAGCAUGGGUAGCGAACAGGAUUAGAUACCCKGGUAGUCC
rnacentral:rRNA from 1 species